rnacentral:rRNA from 1 species
AGAGUUUGAUCCUGGCUCAGGACGAACGCUGGCGGUGUGCUUAACACAUGCAAGUCGAACGGUAAGGCCCUUUCGGGGGUACACGAGUGGCGAACGGGUGAGUAACACGUGAGUAACCUGCCCUCAUCUCUGGGAUAACAGUCGGAAACGGUUGCUAAUACUGGAUAUGAGCUUGCAAGGCAUCUUGUGGGUUGGAAAGAUAUUUUUUGGUUGGGGAUGGACUCGCGGCCUAUCAGCUUGUUGGUGAGGUAGUGGCUCACCAAGGCUUCGACGGGUAGCCGGCCUGAGAGGGCGACCGGCCACAUUGGGACUGAGAUACGGCCCAAACUCCUACGGGAGGCAGCAGUGGGGAAUAUUGCACAAUGGACGGAAGUCUGAUGCAGCAACGCCGCGUGCGGGAUGACGGCCUUCGGGUUGUAAACCGCUUUCAAUUGUGACGAAGCUUUUUUGUGACGGUAGCAGUAGAAGAAGCACCGGCUAACUACGUGCCAGCAGCCGCGGUGAUACGUAGGGUGCGAGCGUUGUCCGGAUUUAUUGGGCGUAAAGAGCUUGUAGGUGGUUUGUCGCGUCGGGAGUGAAAACUCAGGGCUUAACUCUGAGCUUGCUUUCGAUACGGGCUGACUUGAGGGAGGUAGGGGAGAAUGGAAUUCCUGGUGGAGCGGUGGAAUGCGCAGAUAUCAGGAGGAACACCGGUGGCGAAGGCGGUUCUCUGGACCUUUCCUGACGCUGAGAAGCGAAAGCGUGGGGAGCGAACAGGCUUAGAUACCCUGGUAGUCCACGCUGUAAACGGUGGGUACUAGGUGUGGGGGACAUUCCACGUUCUCCGUGCCGUAGCUAACGCAUUAAGUACCCCGCCUGGGGAGUACGGCCGCAAGGCUAAAACUCAAAGGAAUUGACGGGGCCCCGCACAAGCGGCGGAGCAUGCGGAUUAAUUCGAUGCAACGCGAAGAACCUUACCAAGGCUUGACAUACGCUGGGACGGUGCAGAGAUGUGCUGGCUUUUGCUGGUGUACAGGUGGUGCAUGGUUGUCGUCAGCUCGUGUCGUGAGAUGUUGGGUUAAGUCCC